rnacentral:lncRNA from 1 species
AGGGACGACGCGGAGGGGUCCCACGCAGGCGCAGAGCUGAACGCUGGCGCAUCGCCAGUCUCGGCUGACAGGAGAGGUGACUGGGUCGAGUAGGAGGGGUUGCGGCGGACACUCUGGGGAGAAGGCCCAAGAUGAUGGUCAGGAGAGCUGAGGGGCGGGCGCUGUGCCGGCUGGAAACCCAGGGUCGUUUGUGGUCUGCAGCCGCUGCCAGCCAGGAGCCUCCGCUGGGAGCCGGCCCUGCCGUUCACGCGGAGCAGCUCGGGCGCGGCCUGCCUCCGGUGCGCUCUGUCCUCCCAGGCCGCGAGCGACGCUGACGCCAUCGGAAGGCGACCGGAAGCGCCGCCGCUGACGCCAUCGGAAGGUGACCGGAAGCGCCGGCGCCGCGUGGCCCUGUGCCCGGUCCCCGAACCCUCUCCGCGCGCUCUCUCCGUAUCCCGUCCUUGGUUCCCUUCUCUGAUUGCAAAGUGGGUCUCUUUGACCUGUUUCUGAGCCCCAUGGGGAAGGAUAAGAAGCGGAGUAGCCGGCGAGGGAGCAAGGAGUGAAGGAAGGGCCUCCUUGCAGACUGUCUGCUAUCAGGCCACGCUCCGGUUGGGACAGAGGCGCGGGUGAAUUUGUCUCUUUCAAAUAGACAAGUGUUUUACGUUUUCACAUUUACAUUUAGUGUAUCUUCCCCACUGUUGAGUGACCUCCCUGGCCAGCAAGGAGAUCACCCAGGAUGACCCACCUCCCGGGGGCUCGGCCCUAGGUGUCCUGUCGGAGAGCUGGGGUCCUGGAAAGAGGGUUUGGAGAGGGUGUGUGCCUGGCGUCUGCCCUCUUUUCUCGCAGCCCCUCCUAGCUAAGGUCUUCCAUCUCAGACAGUACUGUGUAGAUUUAGCCUCUCCGACUUCUUCCAGUUCUCUAGGCACCCGUGACCUCGUGCACCCAGAGGAAGGUGCAUGGGCCAUGGGACAGUGAGUGGGAGGAGUGGAUAAGACUGGGCAUUUGUGCAAAAUAAACGUUGACAUCUU